rnacentral:rRNA from 1 species
CCGACCCGCGGUCCAAUCAUCGAGCACCGGCUGCACCCGGCGCGGAAACAGUUCGAAUCCCGCCAUCAUUUGCGGACGCAACAGGUGAAGUGCAGCGAGUGUCUGAAGUUGCCACGAGUGGUGAUCGGGGUCGUCGUGGUGCUCGCCGAUCAGUACCACGUCGCGGCGCGCCGCCUCGCGAAGUAUUGCGUGUUCAGACGUGGGCUGCAGCGUCCCGUUUCUGAACGUGUACCAGUUCCCCCGGAGCAGGACAUUGCGUCACCGCUGAAGUGCUUUGCGGCGGUGUCGUGCAGCCCACGCAAAAAGCGAGACCGAUACAGGCUGAGAAGAGCCUCGUCUUCUCGCGCACACGCAGUGCGAUGCGGCCUCGCGGCUGGAGACGGACUUGCUAUUCCUCGAUGCGGCUUUCCCGGAGCUUGUCCAC